rfam:Capsella rubella cultivar Monte Gargano unplaced genomic scaffold scaffold_1, whole genome shotgun sequence.
CUGAAGAAGUGAUGAGAAAUCAGAUAAAUCUUAGGACACCUUCUGACACAGAACUAACUCUCUGUGUAUGAGAAAGACAUCAUAUUCUGAUCUUCAG